rnacentral:rRNA from 1 species
UGGGGAAUCUUGCACAAUGGGGGAAACCCUGAUGCAGCGACGCCGCGUGAACGAUGAAGCCCUUCGGGGUGUAAAGUUCUUUCGGCAGGGACGAUAAUGACGGUACCUGCAGAAGCAGCUGCGGCUAACUACGUGCCAGCAGCCGCGGUAAUACGUAGGCAGCAAGCGUUGUUCGGAAUUACUGGGCGUAAAGAGUGCGUAGGCGGUUGGCUAAGUUUGGUGUGAAAUCUCCCGGCUCAACUGGGAGGGUGCGCCGAAAACUGGCUGGCUAGAGUGCGGGAGAGGAUAGUGGAAUUCCUGGUGUAGCGGUGAAAUGCGUAGAUAUCAGGAGGAACACCUGAGGUGUAGACGGCUAUCUGGACCGUAACUGACGCUGAGGCACGAAAGCGUGGGGAGCAAACAG